AGCCAUGGGACGCGGCUGAUUUCUAAAAGGAACUGAAUUCCUCCGAAUUAUCCAGCAGCGUUUCUGAGCUAUGAGCUCUUAUAAACCGGUCAUGUGUGUGUCCGUCCCUGGUAUGACUCCAUGGCAAAGAAAAAUGCUAGAAAUCAGCGAAUUUUCUAGCGAAUUUUGAACUGAGGAUAUCAGCACUAAGACAGCAGCUGGCAGAGAAACAGCAAACUAACAGGUACAAAGAUCGUUUGAUUCACUAGGGAUGUUCGACAUCUGCUGCAUUUCAACGUUUCGGUGACCACAUAACAAAUGACCGAGAGAGAGGAGAGGAGCUACUUUUAUAUAUAGAACCAAACAAACACCACGCACCUCCCAUCCAACAUCAGCGCUCACAUGCGCGGUCAUCAGAAGAAAAA